AUACGGAGGAUCCGAGCGUUAUCCGGAUUUAUUGGGUUUAAAGGGAGCGUAGGCGGACUAUUAAGUCAGCUGUGAAAGUUUGCGGCUCAACCGUAAAAUUGCAGUUGAUACUGGUCGUCUUGAGUGCAGUAGAGGUAGGCGGAAUUCGUGGUGUAGCGGUGAAAUGCUUAGAUAUCACGAAGAACUCCGAUUGCGAAGGCAGCUUACUGGACUGUAACUGACGCUGAUGCUCGAAAGUGUGGGUAUCAAACAGGAUUAGAUACCCUGGUAGUCCACACAGUAAACGAUGAAUACUCGCUGUUUGCGAUAUACAGUAAGCGGCCAAGCGAAAGCGUUAAGUAUUCCACCUGGGGAGUACGCCGGCAACGGUGAAACUCAAAUGAAUUGGCGGGG
rnacentral:rRNA from 1 species